GCCCGGUUAGCUCAAUCGGUAGAGCGUGAGACUCUUAAUCUCAAGGUUGCGGGUAAGUUCAUUCAUAUAUGAAUCU